AGCGCAGGCGGACCGGCAAGUUGGAAGUGAAAACCAUGGGCUCAACCCGUGAAUUGCUUUCAAAACUGCUGGCCUUGAGUAGUGCAGAGGUAGGUGGAAUUCCCGGUGUAGCGGUGGAAUGCGUAGAUAUCGGGAGGAACACCAGUGGCGAAGGCGACCUACUGGGCACCAACUGACGCUGAGGCUCGAAAGCAUGGGUAGCAAACA
rnacentral:rRNA from 1 species